UACGUAGGGUGCGAGCGUUAAUCGGAAUUACUGGGCGUAAAGCGUGCGCAGGCGGUUCGUUGUGUCGGCGGUGAAAGCCCCGGGCUUAACCUGGGAAUGGCCGUUGAAACUGGCGAACUGGAGUGUGGCAGAGGGGGGUGGAAUUCCGCGUGUAGCAGUGAAAUGCGUAGAGAUGCGGAGGAACACCGAUGGCGAAGGCAGCCCCCUGAGCUAACACUGACGCUCAGGCACGAAAGCGUGGGGAGCAAACAGG
rnacentral:rRNA from 1 species